CAUUAUGGUGAGUCAGAUCCCCGUCGAUGUGCCCAGACACGUUGUGGACAUGUUGGCGUGGGAUGAGUUUGAUGUGAUUGGUUGGUUUCUCUUCCUGCGGGUGGAGACAUGUUUCCCUGUACAGUAUAUAUAGAGAUGCCCCACUGAACAUCAUUCACUGCUUUCAGUAGGAGAAGAAAGACUGAACUGCACCUGUUUUGCUGCGCAGCUUAACUGUAAGUAUUUCGACAGAAGAGGUAACCAGCUUCAGUUUAGCUUGCUGUUCAAAGAUGUACUCCCAGGGAUCCUCACAGAGCAGCGUAAACAAGACUGCCAUCAUCCCGAAGAGCAAAGCCAAAGGUGUGGAUAUCUGCGGUACAGAGAAAAAACAUUAUAUAAUUCGCUCUGAUCUCGGCUGCUACAUGGAAU